AGCAGGACAGUGUCUGAUGAUUCUGGGAUGGAAUCCACAUGUAGGAUAACUUCCCAGCCCACAUUCUGAAAUACCACUUGAAAGAAGACUUUUACUCUUGAGCCUCCUGCUUCAGAAGGGACAGCCACACCCCGUUUCAAGGCUAUACACACACCCAGGAUUGACACAUCUCACCAUGCCCUGGGAGGAAUUCAGCACAAACUAGAAGAAACAGAAUGGCAAAGAGCUGUUUUGACUCCACCACAUGAAAUGUCUACUGGCAAGACUUCCAUCUUCCCUCAGAGUCCUGGAAUUGCGAGGCUGGAUAGGUGACAGCUGGGACGACUUGCUGCUCUUCCGGAGGACCAGAGUUUGGUUACCAGAACUCACUCUGUGGCUCACGACCACCUGUAACUCCAGCUUCAGGGGAUCUGAGGUCCUCUUCAGGCCUCCACAGGAAUUUGCAUGCAUGUGCAUGUACCUCCACACAGGCAUGUACAUAUGAAUAUAAUUAGAAUUAGGAGUCCUCAAAUUGCCCCAAAAUUUCCUUUCUUUCCUAAGCAACCCUACCGAGAAUCUCUAGUUUCCAUCAUUAUGAACAAACACAAAGACCCAUCUCUCCACACCUGCUUGCUGAUCCAUGUAAAAUCAUACCUGACGUACUCCGCAUACCAGUCAGAAGUUUGCUUGGAUUUAAUGGCUCCCAGUAAUGGUUAGGAGGUACAUAUAGACAGCCUGGCUGGAGAGGCGGAGCUUGACAUUUUCUCAGUAGUGUGAACUGGGUGGCCCAAGGUAGACCUGGAGCCUGAUAAGGCUUUCUUUGGGUUCAUAAAAGAUGAACAUUUGAAUGUCAGAAGCAAGCAGUGUUUUAGGAAUUAAGUAUUGCAAUAAUUACCUUUUAUAUAAUUCACCAUGACAACUUCCUAAUGUUUAGCUGUCUCAUAGUUUGAUAAAUAAGGAUUACCAAUGAAAAAAGAAAAAAUUAAUGAUUUUUAAAAUAA